UUUUUAAGAAAUCACAAAUUGCAGAAAUGGUAAGAUGAAAUAGAACUCUUCACUUGUUAGCCUCAGCUUAAUCUCAUUUCCUGUCACUGAAAGUACCCAAGGAUGACGAGACCAAAACAGCCCUUCUUUUGGCUCUUCCUCCACCUGCUUGCCUUAGUUUUAUCUUCGUUCCUCAUGCUGCACCGAAGAAUCAUAGGCAUGCACUGUGGCCGCUUUACUCAGUGUGGAAACCUUAACAUCAGCCCCUUUUCGAUUAAAUCCCAGCCCCUAUAUGUGGUAAUCCGUUUGUUUCAUAUGUUGGGCUUCUGUGCGACAACAACCGCACAAUUCUCUCCGGCGAACAAGGAAAUUCUAUGUCCACAUCUCUUAUGUUAAGUACACUAUUACUCUUUUAGAUGUGAAUCUGUACAACCGUAACUGCUCCUUCCUCGCAGUUCCCUUCCGUUUCGUGAUUCUUAUAAUGGAACAUUACUUCAACCGGAAGUUGAUCAUUAUGCGUACUAUAAUUAUAGCGAGAUAUACGUGGUGCUGCAGUAGGAAGAUGAAUAAGUCUUGGUCUGGGGUUAGUUACAUCGAUGCUUCUCGUUGCUCUUCCUCAUCUCCACCAACGAUAGUAAUUCUUUUAUUAUUUUUUGGAUGGCGAAACGGCGCCGUCUGAUUUACAUCCGUCGUGCACGGUUGAAGCCCGGGUUCCGAUCGAUCUGCAUAAUAUUAGUGGCGCCUCUACUUCUGAUAUUUACAAAAGCUAAUGAUGGGCGUCCAACUCAGAUGGAGAGAGUCACCGGCUUUACCGCACUUCUUUGUAAUGCUGGGGACCUUCCUUGGAAGUGCUAAUGACGUGAUGGUAGCAAGGACAAUUUUGGGGGUAAUUUGCUUGAUUAUCCUUGUUCUGUACAAAUUCAGAAGAAGGCAUUUGUCGAUGGACGAGGAG